rnacentral:ncRNA from 1 species
AAAGUCUCCUACGCCACCGCCAUGGACUGGUUCAUUGCCGUGUGCUUCGCCUUC